AGCGCAACCCUUGUCCUUAGUUACCAGCACCUCGGGUGGGCACUCUAAGGAGACUGCCGGUGACAAACCGGAGGAAGGUGGGGAUGACGUCAAGUCAUCAUGGCCCUUACGGCCAGGGCUACACACGUGCUACAAUGGUCGGUACAAAGGGUUGCCAAGCCGCGAGGUGGAGCUAAUCCCAUAAAACCGAUCGUAGUCCGGAUCGCAGUCUGCAACUCGACUGCGUGAAGUCGGAAUCGCUAGUAAUCGUGAAUCAGAAUGUCACGGUGAAUACGUUCCCGGGCCUUGUACACACCGCCCGUCACACCAUGGGAGUGGGUUGCUCCAGAAGUAGCUAGUC
rnacentral:rRNA from 1 species